UGGACUGCAUGCCUAGCUUGACGCCUGCCUC
rnacentral:piRNA from 1 species